AAUCAACGCUGGCGGCGUGCCUCAGACAUGCAAGUCGGACGAUUAAGACUCCCUUCGGGGAGUGUAUAAAGUGGCGCACGGGUGAGUAACACGUAGGUAAUCUGCCUUUGAGUGGGGAACAACCAUCGGAAACGAUGGCUAAUACCGCAUAAUGCAGCGGCACCGCAAGGUGACAGUUGUUAAAGCGAGCAAUCGCGCUUAAAGAGGAGCCUGCGGCAGAUUAGGUAGUUGGUGAGGUAAUGGCUCACCAAGCCUGCGAUCUGUAGCCGACCUGAGA
rnacentral:rRNA from 1 species